AUGGAGGGGCUCGACGUCGACGACGUCUUCCACCACUACCGGCUGAGCCCUACGGAAGUGGACGCCGUCACCUACUACCUACCACGCCUCCUCUCCGGCGAGACGCUGCACGGCGUCGACAAGCUCAUCCACCGCGCCAACAUCUCCGGCUGCGAGCCCAAGGAUCUGGCCGCCCGGUACGCGCCCGUGCCGCAGGCCGUGAGCAGCGGCGACCGGUUCUUCUUCACCACGUGCAAGAGCAAGAACGGGAGCAAGCACCAGAGCUUGCGCGGCGCCGGCACCGGCACCUGGACCAUCCAGAAGACCACGGAGAUUUGCCACGCGGGAGUCAAGGUCGGCGAGGUCAAGAACCUGUCCUUCAAGAAGAAGGGCAAGUCCACGGGCUGGGUCAUGGAGGAGUACCGGUGCCUGCUGCCGGAGGCCACCGUCAGCGACGGGGUGAAGGUCUUCUGCAAGAUGCACUUGGCUCAGCAUGCCCCUGACGCGGCCCGACAGGAAUCGGAGGCGUACAAGCUUCAACAACCGCAACCGGAGGCCGUGACCCAGAGCACGCACGCGCAGAAGAGGCCAGCGACCGCUGCCGCCGCCGAGCCUCAUCCGGCGAGCCCCAAGAAGAGGAUGCGCGGUGCCGUCCCGGUCCCGGCACCUGCCACAUCGUCGUUCACCGCUGCAGCACCGGUUUUCUUGCCGGAUGAAUACGUACGUGAAGCUGACGACGACAUGGCCCGGUUCUGUUGCACAAUCGAUGAGCUUCUCGGGUCACAAGCGGAGGAAAAUCUCCCGGUCGGAGCUACUAACAGCAUCGAACAGAAUUUCUACUUGGAACCAGAGGGGCUUUUCGCUGAUGCUGCAGAAGAAAUCGUCCCGCUCGAAGCUGACGAGCUGGAGUUCCUUAGGACCUUCCUCGAUGAAGAAGCAGAAGAGUCGACGAACGACAAGUCAUCCAUUGCCCAAGACGUGGGGACUUACAAGCCGCCGCCGCCGAUCAUCUUCCAUGAUCCAUUUGAAGCAGCGUGGAAGGCCGAAGAGGCGCUGGAGAAGGAGAAGAGGUGCAAUGCCGCGGCCAAUCUUCACGCUGGAGGGCACAGCAACUUCUUCUCGCCUGCAAGUGUCUACUAA
rnacentral:rRNA from 1 species